UACGUAGGGGGCAAGCGUUGUCCGGAUUUAUUGGGCGUAAAGAGCGUGUAGGCAGCUAGGUAGGUCCGUUGUGAAAACUCGAGGCUCAACCUCGAGACGUCGAUGGAAACCAUCUAGCUAGAGUCCGGAAGAGGAGAGUGGAAUUCCUGGUGUAGCGGUGAAAUGCGCAGAUAUCAGGAAGAACACCCGUGGCGAAGGCGGCUCUCUGGUACGUGACUGACGCUGAGACGCGAAAGCGUGGGGAGCGAACAGG
rnacentral:rRNA from 1 species